AAGUCGUAACAAGGUUUCCGUAGGUGAACCUGCGGAAGGAUCAUUACAAAACAAAAUCCAAACCACACCAAAUGUGCUCUAUAAAUGCUGAGAAGCUGUCUUUGUGUGUGUUAAUGUUUGUGUGAGGAGAAAAAUUUAUUUUUUCCUCCUCGCACUCUCACACACACACACACAAUCCUUCUUUUCAGCAUUGUCUUUGUUUAUCAAUUUUUUCAUUAACUCCUUGUUUAACCAACAACGGAUUACAAUGUUAAAACUUGAAACAAAAAAACAAAACAAAAUGACAACUUUUAACGGUGGAUCUCUUGGCUCGU
rnacentral:misc_RNA from 1 species